AAGGGCAAAAGAUGGCCACAGUGCCCAAGCACAGCUGGGGCUUGUCCAAUUAGGACAGUGAAGCAAUAUGGCACUGAUUUUGUCAAAUUCAUAUGUAAGCUAGAGCUGCAAGCAGCAACUAAUCUUGGAUUACAAUAACACCCCACUUCAUGGCAGGAGAGAGGAGACACCGAAAUCUUUUUAACAAACAUGCAGUCAAGCAAAAGAAUUUCCUCACUGGCAGUGCCCAAAAAAUAUAUUUCUCAUUCUGUAGCUCCUCUCCUCUUGGUCUAGAGAUGCAGUAACUACCAGACCUCAUGAUAUCUACUCAGCACAAGCAAAAUGGCCUACUACUUGUUAUUUUUACAGCAACACAGCUUCAUUACUCAAGAGAAGUUUAAAGCAUUUAACAUAUUUUAACUUGCUAAGGAGGCAUUAAUUCUCACAACACCCAAGGGAGGCAAAUAUUUAACAAGUUUUCACAAAGGUUUCAGUCUCUUCUCCAAAUAACAUGGCUUAUAAUUAAAUGUAUUUGGGGCUGCAUAUUAAUUUUAACUGAAAUAUAGAAAGCAAGAUCCAUGGCUAUAUGUAAAUUUGUGAGAUUCUGAAAUCAUUUUAACAUUAAAACUAGUGCUCUCAUUUAACUGUACCCUUGAGAUGCAUAUGUAUCUGCAUGCAUACAUGUAUCUACAUACAAGAAUAACCUAUAUAAGCUCAUUUACAUUAUCACAUUGGAUAAAAAGAAAAUAUAAUGGGCAAUCAGAAGCAGAAGAUCCAACAUUAUGAUUGGGAUGCUAAACAGACCAACUCAGGUUGAACUCAUGUAACUGGUUCAGAUCAUUACCAUUGAUUCUAAGAAUGUAUUGACUGAUCAGUCCAAAAAUAUUACAAGUUUUCAUACCAAUACACAAAGUUCACAUAUAAUGCACAAAUGAAAUUUUUAUCAAUAUGUGGUCAGAACAAUGUUAGCCGGGUUAUCUGCUUCUGUGUAUAAAUCCGUGCAUGUCUUUAGCUACAAAUCAAAGUGCUCAAUAAAUGCUACUUUUAUUGACCUUACUUGGGACACAAAGAAAGAUGACUAAAUGUUUAUUUCUGGAAUAACUAGAAUACCCUGUUUUCCCCACAUAAUGAACCAAUAAUUUUUUGCACUGAGAUUUAAUCAUUGUCACCAUUUAAUCCUCUGGUUAUGCUUGAAAUAGUAUUAAAAACUAUUCUGUGAUAUAUGCUGAAAUUUAACAUCUGUUUAAAUGAUAUUUAUAACAUAAUUAGCCCAAAGACCAAGAGUAUAACAUGUGCUUAUUAAAUAAAAA